GGGGGAGGAAGGAAGGAGCAGGAGGAGGAGGAGGAGGAGGAUUCCCAUUCCAUUUGUUAGCAGAGCAUGCCAUUUGUGAGGAAUGCAGAGGAACACCUGCACCUGAGCACUGACUUUACUUAUCUUCAGACAGACUGCUCCUCUUCACAACCCAGACAGGAGAGAUAAGAGUUUAGAUACUGUUGAAAGAAACUCAGUCCGGUUGGCUCUUCUUACUGCUCAAAGCACCAUGCUCAAACUUCAAGCAGCCUCAUCCUCCCAUCUUGCUCAACUGCACAUAUGUGCUGAGAGGACUAUAAAGGGUGCUACAAAAUCUCUUUGCAUACCGAUAUAAACCCAGUUAUGUAUCAGAGCUUGGAAAUGUCACCUUCACAGACAACAACUCCAGGAUACCCUCUGCUGGCCGGGGAGUUAGCUGUAGCCUAUAUGACUUCCCCAAGUUCUGUGGGAGCUUGUAUUACACACUAAAGAAAUCAAAAUUCUAUAUCAAGUCAUUAAAAUUCUGCAUCAA